rnacentral:rRNA from 1 species
AGACAGUUCGGUCCCUAUCCGUCGCGGGCGUUGGAAAUUUGAGAGGAGCUGUCCUUAGUACGAGAGGACCGGGAUGGACUUACCGCUGGUGUACCAGUUGUUCUGCCAAGGGCAUUGCUGGGUAGCUAUGUAGGGAAGGGAUAAACGCUGAAAGCAUCUAAGUGUGAAGCCCACCUCAAGAUGAGAUUUCCCAUUUCUUUAAGAAAGUAAGAUCCCUGAGAGAUGAUCAGGUAGAUAGGUCAGGAGUGGAAGUACAGUGAUGUAUGGAGCGGACUGAUACUAAUCGAUCGAGGACUUAACCAA